rnacentral:rRNA from 1 species
UACGGGGGGGGCAAGCGUUGUUCGGAAUUACUGGGCGUAAAGGGCUCGUAGGCGGCCAACUAAGUCAGACGUGAAAUCCCUCGGCUUAACCGGGGAACUGCAUCUGAUACUGGAUGGCUUGAGAUUGGGAGAGGGAUGCGGAAUUCCAGGUGUAGCGGUGAAAUGCGUAGAUAUCUGGAGGAACACCGGUGGCGAAGGCGGCGUCCUGGACCAACACUGACACUGGGGAGCGAAAGCCAGGGGAGCAAACGGG